rnacentral:rRNA from 1 species
GAUGAACGCUGGCGGCGUGCCUAAUACAUGCAAGUCGAGCGAACAGACGAGGAGCUUGCUCCUCUGACGUUAGCGGCGGACGGGUGAGUAACACGUGGAUAACCUACCUAUAAGACUGGGAUAACUUCGGGAAACCGGAGCUAAUACCGGAUAAUAUAUUGAACCGCAUGGUUCAAUAGUGAAAGACGGUUUUGCUGUCACUUAUAGAUGGAUCCGCGCCGCAUUAGCUAGUUGGUAAGGUAACGGCUUACCAAGGCAACGAUGCGUAGCCGACCUGAGAGGGGGAUCGGCCACACUGGAACUGAGACACGGUCCAGACUCCUACGGGAGGCAGCAGUAGGGAAUCUUCCGCAAUGGGCGAAAGCCUGACGGAGCAACGCCGCGUGAGUGAUGAAGGUCUUCGGAUCGUAAAACUCUGCUAUUAGGGAAGAACAAAUGUGUAAGUAACUAUGCACGUCUUGACGGUACCUAAUCAGAAAGCCACGGCUAACUACGUG